rnacentral:lncRNA from 1 species
GCAGGCAUCAGUUCUUUAAUAGAAGAGAUUUUUGGAAUGAAAACAAACUCAUUAGUAGCAACCAAUUACAAAUCUGUGUUUCCUGCCCUUGACAAAUUUUCCCAUUUCCCUGUGUUGUUGUUUUUUUCUCCCCCUUCAUUGUCAUGUCAUGUCAGAGCUGAUUAUAAGAGAAGGCCUUUUCCAGAAGACCAUUACAUGGGUGGGCUUUGGGCUGCUAAGCUUCACCACUCUUCGAGAGAUCACAGACCUCAACCUCAGUGUCUUCGUCCUUUCCCUAAGACAAUGAAAACACUAAAGUGAAAGCCCUGUGGUAAAUCUUUUAGCCUUGAGUGUUAAUAGAUUCUGAGAUGGAAGGAAAAGCUCUUAUUUCACAGUCAAAGGCUAAACAAGAAGCAGUUUCUAUUGUGUUGUAAAAAACCAAGUGGCCAAAUACGGUUAUCCCUCUAUGCAGCAGAAGCCUUAGCCUUUUGCAUCACAAACACCCAGUGAGGCUUGUAUGUCAUAAUUGCUGAUCUCUUGGGAUACGCCAGAUAUGUUUCAGCUCACCACCUGAUACUGAGCAACAUCAGAGAAACAGGCAGCUCUGCCUGGAGGCUGCCAUCCCCUCACAGAGAUCUUGAAAGCAGAAAUGGUAAGACACGGACAACAUCAGAAGCCUCGCAACAGGGGACGCUCCCAGCAGAGGCAAAGAGGCAAAGGCAGGAGACAAAGAAGGAGGCAAAGGAGAAAGACAAGGACAAGAGGCAAGAAAUACCAUUGCAGAAGACGAGUGUUUUACUGAGAUCCGGCCUCCUCUGCCAUACGUUGCAGCAUCAACUGCAUGACAAACAAUUCUGCUUUCUGGGAAGUCUGGAAUAGGAGCAGCCAGUUAACAUGCAAUAAACAGGCCUGGAUGCAU